AGUAUUUGUAGGAGGCCACCAGAGAGACAGGAUUGCAAGGUUUUAAAUAUGCUAGUGUCAUGAGGUCAUGGAUUUCCUACCUGAAACAGAUAGUGUGACUGCCCUGCUAUAGCCAUGUUUGGCCAGUGUAGGAAUUUUGAGAACAGUGAACACUUAAUACUCAGAUGGCAUUUUGCCACCCCGACAAGGACCAUACCUGCCAUUCCAUUGUAGUUCGCCUUGCCCAGAAGUUUUAAAAUUUUUCUUUCAGCCUGGGAUUUCAAGUGUACUACAGCAUCCUCUUCACCUAUACAAGCGUCUGUUGUUUUAAAAGGAAACUGAUAUAAUUUGAGCAAAUAAUUUGAAGAUGGGUAAAUAGAAGUUUGACUGAAGCUGAUGAAAUUUCUCUUGCCACCACCAUAUAAGAAGUGCCUUUCACCUCCUGCCAUGAUUCUGAGGCUUCCCCAGCCAUGUAAAACUGUGAGUCCAAUUAAACCUAUUUUUCUUCUGA
rnacentral:lncRNA from 1 species